UACAGGGGGUGCAAACGUUGCUCGGAAUCAUUGGGCGUAAAGCGCACGUAGGCGGUUCGUUAUGUCGGAUGUGAAAGCCCUUGGCUUAACCGAGGAAGUGCAUUCGAAACUGGCGAGCUAGAGUACUAAAGAGGAUCGCGGAAUUCCCGGUGUAGAGGUGAAAUUCGUAGAUAUCGGGAGGAACACCAAUGGCGAAGGCAGCUCGCUGGGACGGUACUGACGCUGAGACGCGAAAGCGUGGGGAGCAAACAGG
rnacentral:rRNA from 1 species